ACCGUCCUUUAUAGGCGGUCUUGUUCUUGUCUGAGAGCCCGCCCACGAUCCAUUCUAAAGUCUUUAUCUCUCGUACUUCUAGUGCUUGUGGCGGGUCCCAUGCCUGCGAGGGACUUGCUUAAACUUCAGGAUUGGGUUGGUAAUUAAUUGUGUUCUCGUACAUCGUUAAAAAUCCUAAUUAGGCUAAAAAUCCACUCAACCCGGUCGUUUGCAGCCCUAUCUAUUUUCCUCAAAUCUUGUUCAAGUGCAUACAGCAUACUACUCUUAGCUCUGGCGUGACAGUUUUUCAAUAAUUAACUUACCACAAAUUCAAUGAAUCACAAACGGGGCAGAUUGAAAACAUGGUUAACUUGUCCUGCUGGCUUGUGUCAUAUUGCUUUGACUGUUUGCUCUCCAAUGUUCUGGUAUGCACAGAGUUGCUUUCGUGUGAGCACCAAAUCAUAUGGCUUGUAUUCAUUUUAUAUGUUGGGAUUUAUAAUACAAUGCAUUGGAAGAGGAAUGCUAUAAACACUCUUUCUAACACUCUUUUGAAUCGGUUAAAAUCCAUGUAGAAAGAGGGUGUUGCUAGCAAUUCUCAUCCAAAAGUAGUCCGCACUAUAUCACCACACUACAUCAUGAAGUUCAUUAUCAAAAUCCAUAUAGAAAAAGAGUGUUGCUAGCAAUUUUCAGACUUUGCCUUUUUUUUUUAUAUCUGCGUGUAUUGGGGCUGGAGUUUUGACUCAGUUAAUGCUUCUUCGGCUCAAGAUAGGGCCACGAAGGAUCAUUUAGUUACUCCUUCAAGUGUCUUUGUUUCUAGGUGAGUCUCGUGAUCUUUUAAUCUCACUACCUCAGCUGCUAUUUGGUUUUGAUGAUCAACUUCUCAGGUAUUUGUUGUACUGAUCAAUUUAUUCAUUAUAAUGCUAAAGGAGGGAACUCAAUGAUGUGAUGAUAUGAUUCCAUUGUGAGAGUGUUAAUGCUAUGUCUGUCUUUUUUAGUUGUUCUUAGUGAUUAACAUUGAAUUUAUCCCAAUUGCCAUUGGUAUUGUGGAUCAUAUCUGUAUUUCCAUUUUGUUUAUUAAUAGUGUAUUUUGAUUAAUUUACCAUUCUUACAAGUGUGUGAACCGUAAAUGUCUUUUUGUAUCACACUUUUCUGGCAGUCUAGAACAUCCAGAAAUUGUGAAAUUAUAAAGCAUUACAAUUGCGGCACUAAUUAAUGUAAACUGCACUAUAUUGCAUUCGAGGUCAGAUUGCAUCCUUUUAAUUCUUCUUUAUUAUAGUUUGCAUAGUUGAUAAGGGGUUGUCUAAGUUAGUCCCUGAGGUUAUAACCCCAUUUUAGCUAGGUGAACCAAAAUUGUUAAAAUCCUGAGCUCACUUAUUUUAGACACUUUUGGUUCACCUAGGAUGAGGUUAUUUAAUCAUAUGGGGUAAGUUAGAUAGCCCCUGUUAAUAUUUCCAGUUUAUCAAGUAAUGACUAAUAAUGCAAGUUAAAAAAAGACUCUACAUUUAAGAAAUUUUUCAAGUAACCAAGCCCCUUUGAGAAGAGAAGAAGAAAAGUUCAGCACUUUCUAGUGCUUCUGAAUUUGUUCAAGUGUGUUUUGUUUGAAAAUGGUCGCAUGAAACUCAGGACAUUUCUGCACAACUCUGGUGUCCAAACAAACUGUUAGAAAAGUGCUCAAUGCUUUAUCAAGGAAAAUGACUAGGAUUGUCAUAGUAAAUUUCUAUCAGCAACUCUCUUCUUAUCAGUCUUAUCAUUUUUCAUGUGACACUUUUCUGUGGGGUUUUAAACUUUUAAUCAUAUUUCUUACUGUGCUUGUCUAUUUUCAGCUUGUUGUCGAAGAUAAGUUCCACCUUUCUCAUCCUGAACAUCAGCAUAUAGUUCAUACUACACUUGCUCCAAAUGGUCAUGGCUUUGGACCAAAAGAGUCAACGUGACACAUUGAAACUAUCUCUUCACCUAAAACCUUCAAGUCAUUCGAUACAUGGGUAUGUUCUCUAGAUAUUGAUCAUAUUUUUAACCAAUGUGAGAUUUCAAACUCAUUUGAAUUUCCAUCAGAAUCCCAGCUCAUAUUAUAUUACCUCAUACGUUGGGCGUUUGUGCUAUAACAACUAGUCUAGAUUGUUAAUUUCCUUUUUCUCUAUAUACUUACGAGUGCUCUCUACUUUGUGUAAAUUUUCUGUUUUAUUUCCUUACUUUGGUGAUGCUUUUAUCCUUAAUCUGUGUGGUACAAGCAUUCUAAUCCACAACUAAUGCUAUUUUGCCCUGAUAGAAAUUAUGGUCACAGACCAAAACAUUUAUUUAAAGCUUCUUCAUCCAAAUAAAGCUGAGCAUGUGGUAAUGCAGCAACAAGUUUUGCCAUAAAGAUUGCAGUUUGCAGUUAGAUUCAAUUGCAUACGGAAGUUUAUGCCUGUAUCUGUAUUAUUAGAGUUAUAGAACCAUGACUUUAUUUUUUCGAUUUAUUCUGUGUGAUAUUAUGAUCGGAAACAUUUUUUAAAUUAUUUAAAAUUUAAAAAAUUAUGUAACUGAGUAAAUUAGUUAUUCAGCCAAAGUUCACUUUAAUUUUCUAAACUCCCAAAAGUAAUAGUAUUAAAUAUUAAGUAUAUGGUGGACCUGGUUUAAACCUAAUAUUCCUAAGCAUUAUUUUACCUGGUGUCAUUUUGAUUAACUAUUUAAUUAGAUCACAUUGUGCAAUUGAAUCAUCAAAAUCAAAUAAAAAAAUCGAGACAACUACUCAAAAAUAUGAAAGCUAAUUGCAUUGAAAGAGAUAUCAGAUUCGAGUUCCUAUGUUAAAUACUUGGAGACCUGUAUUGCUCAUAAAUAUCAUAUAAUAGUCCUAUUUAAUUUGAGUUAUAAACUUAUAAUUGUAAAAGCAACAAUUUGUUAGAAAUCUCAUUUGGCUAUAUAUAUAUAGUAUUUAAAAGAUAAAGCAACUUUCAAAUCUUGAACUAACUUUUAAAUUGCGCUAGGUCUCUAUAAUUCUAAUACGUACAAUUAAAUACAUAAAAUAGAUAAAUAAAUAAAAAAGAUAAAGAGAUAUGAAAGUAAGCUAUUGCAUUCUGUAAGAUAAUAAAAAUAUCCCGAGAAGCAAGAAUAUCACCUGUUCGAUUAAUCCAUAUUUUAACCGUCUGAUAUUUUGAUCGGAUCCAUAUUGUACGCGCAAUUUCAUUUUAUCUUGAGAUCAUUUUUUGUUUUCAUUGAAUUUGAAAUAUCCUUGAACAUUAAUUCCAUCUUAACUUACUUAAAGAUUGCAAUAUAUCAACUGUUUUAAUUUUAGAAUGAAUCUUACAGAUAUCUUUUACCAUCAAUUUAACUUUAUCUUUCUGCUAACUGUCAAAAAAAAUAUAUAUAUAUAUAUCCUUCUUAAUUAAUUUGGCUUCAAGUAACCUUCACAUUAUUAGUUACUGCCUAUACUAUAUAUUACGAGCCGCAACUUGUUCACUCUCCCAUACACAAAAUCCUAAUUUUCAUUCAACUCUCAUCCAUUUCAUUUGCUACCUCUUCCCCUGUUUGAUCGAUCAUCAUGAGGUUCUCUUCCAAACCCUUCAAGCCUUGUGGUUUGGACAUGAUAUUAUCAAAGCAAGCACCACAAUACUUCUGUUGGAAAAAGAGAUUAUGUCACAGAUUCUACUGUGAAAAAGAGUUAGCCAAAAUCAAAAAAGUUUUUAAAUUGCAUUCAGAGACGACAGAGCCUUGCGGUUUGGACAUGAUACUAUCAGAGAAAGCACCACCACACUUCUGUUGGAAAAAGAGAUUAUCUCACAAAUUCUACUGUGAAAAACUAAUUCAAGAAAUACCACCCAAACCUGCCAAGAAAAAAUCAAGGAAGAAGAUUGCUUCAGAGAAUGUGCAAGAGUUGCCUAUAGAAAUCAGGAACCGGAUUGCAGAGCUGAAUGGUAUCAAUAUACAAUUUCUCAUGAGCAAGAAACUCUACAACACCGACGUCAAGGCGAAUAACAACCGUCUGUCUAUGCCGGAAAAUAGUAUCAAGUGUGAGUUCCUCACUGAAGCUGAGAAAAAAAGCACUGCUGAACAGCAAGGUGUGGAUGUGACUGUGUUGGAUCCAUGUCUCAGAGAACACUCUUUGGUCUUGAAGAAGUGGAAGAUGAACAGUGUCUUCGUCUACAAUUUGAUCAAGAAUUGGAACAAGGUUGUAUCUGAGAAUCAUUUCCAAAAAGACCAUCAACUCCAAAUUUGGUCUUUCAGGGGGGUCAAUAACAAACUCUACUUUGUUCUGAACAAAGUCUGAAAUGUUAGAUUAGGAAAUUCAUAUGUCGAUUAUUGAAUUUUUUUUAGUAACCAAUUCUAUAAUUCUAUAUUUGUUUUCAGUUGUUAUAUACUUGUGUUUCUUAUUAAUCCAAGACUCUUUUAU